AUACUGAAGCAAUAUGCAAGCAGCUGUGCUGUCAUUCCCUCUGAUCAAAAUAAGGUCAUUUCUUAACUAUACCUGCUUGUUAUUCCCCUGCAGCCAGGGAUGUUUGUUCUCACACAU
rnacentral:snoRNA from 1 species